AUUUACAAAAGUCGAAAAGAUUGAAUUUUUAAUUGGCUGAUGAUGAUAAAUUCUUUAUCUUAGCGGAUUUCAUUGAGAUUGAAAAUUAAAAUUUCAAUCAAGGAUUUGAUUGUUACACACACUGAAGCCAAUUAAUUAUUAUAUUUUCUAAUUUAAUUAUUUAUCUAAUUGCAAUGACGAGAUUAAACACAAUGAGAGUGUUAAUGGCAGUGGAUUCAGAUCCGUGAGCCUAUAUAAAAAACGACUUCUCCUUCAUCUGAGCACAAUUUUCCCAAUAUUAAAAUAAUGUUUAUUAUAUUUUAUUUAGUUCAUUUAUUUAUUUAAAUAAAAUUAAAUAAUAAUUAAGUCAGCGCCCUUUUACCAAUUCUGGAGGAUUUUCUGUUCCUCUAUGAUAUAAUGGCUUGGGCGCAAUAAUUAAUUGUGGCUAAUCCUGGUUAAUGUAUUUAAUUACAUGUCAUUACACCCCGGAAACACCUCAUAAAUUUUUAUUAAUCUAGUAAAACUUUGAAUUUAAUAAAAAUAUUUUAUUUUUUUAAAUAUUGUAAAUUCUAAUUGUUGCUUUCUAUAGGCGUUGCGUUUUUUGGCCUCCCAAUUGACGUGUCAAUGAAAGCAUAGAAAGAAAUGUAGCCUGAUGAAUUAAUAUUUUAUUAUUUUUUCAAUGACGUGGCGAGUUCUAUAUUGCUUAGAGUUUGCCCAUUUUGCCCUGGCUUCUAUAAAUAAAUUACAAUGAUUUUUUUUAAUAUUGGUUGCUUCAUAAUGGUGAAGUCUCUGUUUGAAUUAGUGAGAGAUUUCAAGUUUCCCGAAGCAUAGAGAAAUUAGUCAGUUUUAAACAGUGCGGUGUUUUUCUUGUGUCACCGUGCUACCUGUCUACUGCUACACUUCUUUGUUUUAAUUAUAUUUUUUUGUUUUUGUUUUAAUUAUUUUUUCUUCAAAUAUUAAAAAUAAAUAUAUAGAUUGGAACAUUCUGCGCGGUGAUGAAGCAAAUAGUGUGGACUAGAGUUUCUGAUCUUGUAUUUGAAGACAAACCCUUGGCUGUCUGAGCGCAGAAAAUUUAGAUUGUUUUUUCUGUUAAAAAAAUGAUAUUUUUACAGUAUUUAUUUUGCUAAUUCUCGAGUAAGUGUUUAUUUUAAUUUAAUUUGUUUUAUUAUAAAAUAAAAUAAUUAAAAUGUUUGUAUAGCGCCCAUUACCAAUUCUGGGGGAAAAUUCAGUUCCUCUAUGGUAUAAUGGCUUGGGCGCCAUAGUUAGAGUUGUGGCUUAUCCUGGUUUUUGUAUUCAUCUACAUGACAUUACACCCCGGAAAAACCUCGUAAAUUUUGUGUCGACGAACAGCAAAGCAGCAUGAUCGUUUAUUUUGAAGAGAUGGUUGCGUUCUGCGACGUUAAAAAUAGAGAGACAAUUUUUUUAAAUGUAAUGUAAUUUUGUGUUAUGUAAAGCAGAAAAUUUCCCUAGUUAUAUUUUUAUACAAUAUUCUUAUUAAAAUUCAAUUGAAUUCAAAUUUAUAAAAUUGAGGUUAUCAUAGUUAAUUAACACAGUAAUAUUUUUUUAGAUACAGUUAAAACUAAACAUAGCUAAAGGAUAAAAUCCCUUUCUGU